rnacentral:rRNA from 1 species
GACGAACCGUGCAAACGUUGUUCGGAAUCACUGGGCUUAAAGGGCGCGUAGGCGGGCGACCAAGUCAGAGGUGAAAGCCCACGGCUCAACCGUGGAAGUGCCCCUGAUACUGGUUGUCUUGAGGGAGAUAGGGGCGUGCGGAACUUCCGGUGGAGCGGUGAAAUGCGUAGAUAUCGGAAGGAACACCGGUGGCGAAAGCGGCGCGCUGGAGUCUCUGACUGACGCUGAGGCGCGAAGCCAGGGGAGCAAACGGG